rnacentral:rRNA from 1 species
AACGAACGCUGGCGGCAUGCCUAACACAUGCAAGUCGAACGAGACCUUCGGGUCUAGUGGCGCACGGGUGCGUAACGCGUGGGAACCUGCCCUUAGGUUCGGAAUAACUCCCCGAAAGGGGUGCUAAUACCGGAUAAUGUCUUCGGACCAAAGAUUUAUCGCCUUUGGAUGGGCCCGCGUUGGAUUAGCUAGUUGGUAGGGUAAAAGCCUACCAAGGCGACGAUCCAUAGCUGGUCUGAGAGGAUGAUCAGCCACACUGGGACUGAGACACGGCCCAGACUCGUACGGGAGGCAGCAGUGGGGAAUAUUGGAGGAUGGGCGAAAGCCUGAUCCAGCAAUGCCGCGUGAGUGAUGAAGGCCUUAGGGUUGUAAAGCUCUUUUACCCGGGAUGAUAAUGACAGUACCGGGAGAAUAAGCGCCGGCUAACUCCGUG